AUACAUAGGGGGCGAGCGUUAUCCGGAUUUAUUGGGCGUAAAGGGUGCGUAGGCGGUAAAUUAAGUCUAAGGUUAAAGUGCAGGGCUCAACCCUGUGAUGCCUUAGAAACUGGUUUACUUGAGUUUGGUAGCGGGAAGUGGAGCUCCAUGUGUAGCGGUAAAAUGCGUAAAUAUAUGGAAGAACACCAGUGGCGAAGGCGGCUUACUGGGCCACAACUGACGCUGAGGCACGAAAGCGUGGGGAGCAAACAGGAUUAGAUACCCUGGUAGUCCACGCUGUAAACGAUGAAUACUAAGUGUUGGAAAAAUCCAGUGCUGAAGUUAACGCAUUAAGUAUUCCGCCUGAGUAGUACGUACGCAAGUAUGAAACUCAAAGGAAUUGACGGGG
rnacentral:rRNA from 1 species